rnacentral:rRNA from 1 species
ACGAAGGGUGCAAGCGUUGUUCGGAUUUACUAGGCGUAAAGCGUCCGUAGGUGGUUUGUUAAGUCAGAGGUGAAAUCCCAGGGCCCAACCCUGGAACUGCCUUUGAUACUGGAUAGCUGGAGUACGGAAGAGGAAGAUAGAAUUUGUGGUGUAGGGGUAAAAUCCGUAGAGAUCAGAAGGAAUACCGAUUGCGAAGGCAGUCUACUGGAUCAUUAUUGACGCUGAGACGCGAAAGCGUGGGGAGCAAACAG